UGCGAUAAGCGCCGGUAAGGUGAUAUGAACCGUUAUAACCGGCGAUUUCCGAAUGGGGAAACCCAGUGUGAUUCGUCACACUAUCAUUAACUGAAUCCAUAGGUUAAUGAGGCGAACCGGGGGAACUGAAACAUCUAAGUACCCCGAGGAAAAGAAAUCAACCGAGAUUCCCCCAGUAGCGGCGAGCGAACGGGGAGGAGCCCAGAGCCUGAAUCAGCAUGUGUGUUAGUGGAAGCGUCUGGAAAGGCGCGCGAUACAGGGUGACAGCCCCGUACACAAAAGCGCAUGUGCUGUGAGCUCGAUGAGUAGGGCGGGACACGUGGUAUCCUGUCUGAAUAUGGGGGGACCAUCCUCCAAGGCUAAAUACUCCUGACUGACCGAUAGUGAACCAGUACCGUGAGGGAAAGGCGAAAAGAACCCCGGCGAGGGGAGUGAAAAAGAACCUGAAACCGUGUACGUACAAGCAGUGGGAGCACCCUUCGGGGUGUGACUGCGUACCUUUUGUAUAAUGGGUCAGCGACUUAUAUUCUGUAGCAAGGUUAACCGUAUAGGGGAGCCGUAGGGAAACCGAGUCUUAACCGGGCGUUAAGUUGCAGGGUAUAGACCCGAAACCCGGUGAUCUAGCCAUGGGCAGGUUGAAGGUUGGGUAACACUAACUGGAGGACCGAACCGACUAAUGUUGAAAAAUUAGCGGAUGACCUGUGGCUGGGGGUGAAAGGCCAAUCAAACCGGGAGAUAGCUGGUUCUCCCCGAAAGCUAUUUAGGUAGCGCCUCGUGAAUUCAUCUCCGGGGGUAGAGCACUGUUUCGGCUAGGGGGCCAUCCCGGCUUACCAACCCGAUGCAAACUGCGAAUACCGGAGAAUGUUAUCACGGGAGACACACGGCGGGUGCUAACGUCCGUCGUGAAGAGGGAAACAACCCAGACCGCCAGCUAAGGUCCCAAAGUCAUGGUUAAGUGGGAAACGAUGUGGGAAGGCCCAGACAGCCAGGAUGUUGGCUUAGAAGCAGCCAUCAUUUAAAGAAAGCGUAAUAGCUCACUGGUCGAGUCGGCCUGCGCGGAAGAUGUAACGGGGCUAAACCAUGCACCGAAGCUGCGGCAGCGACACUGUGUGUUGUUGGGUAGGGGAGCGUUCUGUAAGCCUGUGAAGGUGGCCUGUGAGGGUUGCUGGAGGUAUCAGAAGUGCGAAUGCUGACAUAAGUAACGAUAAAGCGGGUGAAAAGCCCGCUCGCCGGAAGACCAAGGGUUCCUGUCCAACGUUAAUCGGGGCAGGGUGAGUCGACCCCUAAGGCGAGGCCGAAAGGCGUAGUCGAUGGGAAACGGGUUAAUAUUCCCGUACUUGGUGUUACUGCGAAGGGGGGACGGAGAAGGCUAUGUUGGCCGGGCGACGGUUGUCCCGGUUUAAGCGUGUAGGUGUGUGUUCCAGGUAAAUCCGGUUCACUUUAACACUGAGGCGUGACGACGAGGCACUACGGUGCUGAAGCAACAAAUGCCCUGCUUCCAGGAAAAGCCUCUAAGCAUCAGGUAACAUCAAAUCGUACCCCAAACCGACACAGGUGGUCAGGUAGAGAAUACCAAGGCGCUUGAGAGAACUCGGGUGAAGGAACUAGGCAAAAUGGUGCCGUAACUUCGGGAGAAGGCACGCUGACACGUAGGUGAAGUGAUUUACUCA
rnacentral:rRNA from 1 species